AAACUGGAUGAUCCUGCCAGUAAUCAUAUGCUUGUCUCAGAGAUUAAGCCACGCAUAUCUUAGUACAUAUCUUAAAACAGUGAAACCACAAAAGGCUCAUUAAAUCAGCUACGGUUCCUUAGAUCGUACAUACUACAUAGAUAACUGUAGUAAUUCUAGAGCUAAUACGUGCAAUUGUGCCCUGACCUGUAAGGGAACGAGUGCAUUUAUUAGAACAAAACAAAACUGAAUAUGUGAAAAAGUGUAUAACCAGUCGAUAAAUAUUAGCAUCCCAACGGAAAUCCCCAAAAAAGAAGAAUAACUAUUAAGGUAUACCAUCAAUGUAAAUUUCAAAUUUGAUGGCACACUUUACAAAAAAGUGGACAAGGUAGCAAUGUGCCCCCCAUUGGGUCCCAUUUCGGCUGAUUUAUUUCUACGCACACUAGAAAAUGGAUCUUAGGACACAACCUUAUCAGAAAAUUCUCAUUUUAUUGNNNNNNNNNNUGGUUCCUUAGAUCGUACAUACUACAUAGAUAACUGUAGUAAUUCUAGAGCUAAUACGUGCAAUU
rnacentral:ncRNA from 1 species